GCUGGAUGGUGUGCUUCCUUUAUGAAAAUGAUGUCAGCACUGCAAGGGUAUAGGUAUUGUUCACCCUUUCAACAAGAAACAGCAAGAUCCAUCCCAAUACUGUAUACAGUGGAACUUUGUGCAAAGGAGAGGCAGUAGCAAUGGGAAAUGGCUCUUCCCAAAAUUCUAUAAAACUCAGUUUUCAUCACUGGCCUUUUCAAUCAUGUAGGGCAACUGCCUUUUUACCCAGAAGGAGGUGCGGCCAGUGCAUGGUGACACGGUAGCACAUAAUUUGUCUUGUCACGAGUGAAAACAUACAUCUGACGAGGUGAAUUGCAGUUAUGCAGUUGCGCUGGAAACAGUUUCUGAAGUAAUGCUACUUGACAGCAUUGGCAAUCUAUUGAACAUGUUUCUUUUCUCUCUCUUUCUCUUUUUUGCUUUAGUCCUCCAGGAGUACUCCAAGAGCAAAUGACAUUUUCUAUCUUGGUGGGGCAUUCUAUCACUCCGUUCCCAGACAAAUCAAUAUCUCAAGAGUAACAGUUUCUUUGAGUCACAUUGGUAAAUUUCUGGGUCACUGGUUUGUCUAGAAUUUGCUUCAGUCUAGAGUGUUUUCUAUCACAUAUUUUCCUCUACUGGAACACAGACACGGCACUGCCUUUUCCAGACAGUGGCACAGUUCAGUUUAAACAACCUACACUAAGAUUAUGAAAGGCUUGGGUUACCUAACAGAUAUAGUGUGUAUGUGCUAUGUGGGUGGGCAUUAUUAUCAGGAAUAGGCAGUAGGCCUAUUUCUGAUACGUAUUUAAAACACAUAUUUCAAAUACAAAAAUACAGAAUUUUGUCAUUUGUAUUUUAUUGGAUUGAAGAAAAUUUGACUUUGUACCAAAAUACUUUAUUGACGUGUAUUUUUGUAGUCUAAAAAUACUGCAAAAUACUUUCCAUUGCAUAAAAGCUAAAAUGAUGCAUGCAGCCUCUGAUUGGUGGUGACUUAUGCCACUGUACAAUUUUGAUCCGACUUUAGCCCAGAAUCAGACGGAUCCAACAACGACGCACACGAUAAUCAAUGUUUCAGAUCCGGUCCAAUCCGAUUGGAUAGCUGUCAGAACUGUUUUACAGUGUGAGCAGUCAAACGGCCUACACUGUGACCACAUCAGUCGUGAUCCGAGUGAAAUAAAUGACCAUGUUGUGUGCGCUACAGAAAAAAGUGCACCGUUUCUGCCUGGCUUAAGUGGAACUUGCUGUCUUUGGAACAGUGUAUCCUAAUCAAGCACCCUAUUGUGAGAUUUAACACAAUCACCCCAUUCUCUGUUCCAGUAGAGCAUUUACUUUCCCUUGCUGGAUUGAUCAACAGGCCUCAUCAACAUCAAAAAUGUGGUUGUGCUCCAAGCGAAAGCUAAAGAGCUUUAGCUAAAAGCUGAAGCCUCAAGCUAAAGAGACACACACACUCACACUCGUGCACACACAAACACAUACACACCCACAUCUUAUGCACAUUACAUUUCAUCAUUACACAUUUAAUUGUGUUUUUUACACAUUUAGUUGUGUUUUUUACACAUUUAGAUUUGGUCUUAUUAGUGAAAGGUGGUGCGAGCCACCCAGGCUGUGCUCCUGUUUCUCAGGCCCUUAUGUUGCUAUAUUUUAUACUGCAUAUCUAUCAAUCCUUGACAAAGGGAAGAAACAUUUCCCAUGUUAUUUCAUUAUCUCAAGCAUCUGUGGCAUCUAUAUUCGUGGAACACAACCUCGGUUCCUAUUCCCUGAUGGCUUGUUCACGGUUGCUGGACAUGCUUGUUGGCCACUGGUCAGGAUGAGCAGUUGAAUGGCACAGUGGCGACAGACAUAUCGUAUCAUUGUGACCUUGUCUCCCCAUUUGGGUGGAGUGCUGUUGUUGGAAUGCAAGGCUUCUCUCUAAAUAUUAGGUGCUUGGAGCGAGGAUUUUCUAUCUACGGAAUCCCAUCCUCUGCCUAUUUCUUAGUGGCUGUUUGAAGUAAGGCUGAUUGCAAUUAACUUGGUGAUUAAACGACCUUUAGAAAUCUGCAGUUGACUGCUGCCAUGCUAUUAACAUUCAGUGAGUACAUCCAAAAGCGGACGAACAACUGGAGCAGUUUUACCAAAGGGCUGCCCAAAGCAAAGGACCCCAAGGGUCAAGCCAAUAUGUCAGAUCUGUGAGUGCACUACUUUGUCAUGGUCUGCAUGCAGAUGGACUGCUCAUAAUGGGCCUAAUCUCAAGAGUGGUCAACUCACACAGCAAUGUGCUACUUUCGGCGCAUUAUACACUGGCACCACUGCCUUGUUCAUGCAGCCAUUCAACUGGAUCAGACAAUCAACCUGGCUUGUGCAUGUAAAUGGACUCUUCACAUUUUACAGGCCGACCUUUGAGUUCAGCUAUGCAUCAUAAGUGAAGGUGUAUAUAAGAUAUUUAAUAUAAAGUUAAUAGGUUAUUUAGUGAAUGAAUACAUGAUAGCUUCAGCGAAAGUUCUACUAGGAAGACUCGUAGUGUAGCUUACUCCUCCCAUGCUUACACGGAGCCAAUCUUAGCUUUGCCUACUUUCGGGAAAGCCCUGCAAUCUGAUCAUUCACUCAUUCAAUCAGCGCUAGCCUAUAGGAAUUCAGUGGGCUCUUUAAAUAUGUACCACCUAACACUGCUUCUGCUUCUCAGUACGCUGACUUUGACGUCCUAGCUCAGGCUUCCGCGUGGACCUGGGCUCUCUGCAUUUUUACAUUCGCCCCUUCUGCCCUCAGUGGCGUUACUUGUUACAAUCCUACCGCGCUCGUUUGCUGCGCUGUUCAGACCUGUGCGUCCUUCAGUCAGGACCACUGCAUGUCGCUUCAUCGCUAAUCUCUGCCUAUCGGAGCCAGUCACGCUCACGCUGUUGCAGCCUUCAAUUCACGAUAGCCUACUGCCGGGUCGCCGUCCUCGCGCAACUUUGUUGCAGGCCCAUGUCGUUUUCGGCAACAAUUUCUCAAGCUUCAGCGUCUGGUUGGUAAGGUUAUCGUGCUCUCUUCCCAAGCUCCUCGAGCUGGGCUACACUCUACCCACUGUCAUGCAACCUGCUUGCCAACGAUAUUCGGCGGGCAGCAAACAAACUGACUUGUCUGACACGGUUUAACUUUCACUUAAGCCUCCUUACAUAAUUCCUGCUGAUUUUAUAAUCCUUGCGAUUUGUGCUGUAAAUUGCUGGCCUGCACCACGCUGCCGUU